rnacentral:rRNA from 1 species
UGGGGAAUAUUGCACAAUGGGGGAAACCCUGAUGCAGCCAUGCCGCGUGUGUGAAGAAGGCCUUCGGGUUGUAAAGCACUUUCAGUUGUGAGGAAAGUUUAGUAGUUAAUACCUGCUAGAUGUGACGUUAGCAACAGAAGAAGCACCGGCUAACUCCGUGCCAGCAGCCGCGGUAAUACGGAGGGUGCGAGCGUUAAUCGGAAUUACUGGGCGUAAAGCGCACGCAGGCGGUCUGUUAAGCUAGAUGUGAAGGCCCCGCGCUCAACGUGGGAGGGUCAUUUAGAACUGGCAGACUAGAGUCUUGGAGAGGGGAGUGGAAUUCCAGGUGUAGCGGUGAAAUGCGUAGAGAUCUGGAGGAACAUCAAUGGCGAAGGCAACUCCCUGGCCAAAGACUGACGCUCAUGUGCGAAAGUGUGGGUAGCGAACAGGAUUAGAUACCCUGGUAGUCCACACCGUAAACGCUGUCUACUAGCUGUUUGUGAAUUUAAUUCGUGAGUAGCGAAGCUAACGCGAUAAGUAGACCGCCUGGGGAGUACGGCCGCAAGGUUA